GGAAGGAAAGGGCACAGAGAAGAAAAGAGAAGUGGAGAGACUUGAUGUGGACUGUUAUCAACAGCUCUGUGGGAGAUUAUCACCUUGAAUAUUACAGAUGAGUUUGUUACAGUCACGACAGACGCAUCAUCUGGUAAUUUACCCAACUUUUGCUACAGUCACGACAGACGCAUCAUCUGGUAAUUUACCCAACU